rnacentral:sRNA from 1 species
AAGCAGGCUGGGAGGCGGCCAUCGGACUCUUCCUUUGUGCAGAUCUCUCUGCACAGAGUGCUACGCACGGAGCUUUGUUUCUUGAUGGGAGGACAACCACAGCUAUUAUGUGUCCCGUCUCUAUGGCCCCAGCGAGCCCCACAGCCGGGAACUGUGGGUAGAUGUGGCCGAGGCCAACCGGAGCCAAGUGAAGAUCCACACAAUACUCUCCAACACCCACCGGCAGGCUUCGAGAGUGGUCUUGUCCUUUGAUUUCCCUUUCUACGGGCAUCCUCUGCGGCAGAUCACCAUAGCAACUGGAGGCUUCAUCUUCAUGGGGGACGUGAUCCAUCGGAUGCUCACAGCUACUCAGUAUGUGGCGCCCCUGAUGGCCAACUUCAACCCUGGCUACUCCGACAACUCCACAGUUGUUUACUUUGACAAUGGGACAGUCUUUGUGGUUCAGUGGGACCAUGUUUAUCUCCAAGGCUGGGAAGACAAGGGCAGUUUCACCUUCCAGGCAGCUCUGCACCAUGACGGCCGCAUUGUCUUUGGCUAUAAAGAG